rnacentral:rRNA from 1 species
UACGUAGGGGCAAGCGUUGUCCGGAAUGACUGGGCGUAAAGGGCGCGUAGACGGCUUUUUAAGUCUGGAGUGAAAGUCCUGCUUUCAAGGUGGGAAGUGCUUUGGAGACUGGGGAGCUUGAGUGCGGAAGAGGUAAGUGGAAUUCCCAGUGUAGCGGUGAAAUGCGUAGAGAUUGGGAGGAACACCAGUGGCGAAGGCGACUUACUGGGCCGUAACUGACGUUGAUGCGCGAAAGCGUGGGGAGCGAACAGGAUUAGAUACCCUGGUAGUCCCUGAG